rnacentral:rRNA from 1 species
AACGAACGCUGGCGGCAUGCCUAACACAUGCAAGUCGAACGAGACCUUCGGGUCUAGUGGCGCACGGGUGCGUAACGCGUGUGAACCUGCCCUUAGGUUCGGAAUAACUCCCCGAAAGGGGUGCUAAUACCGGUUAAUGUCUUCGGACCAAAGAUUUAUCGCCUUUGGAUGGGCCCGCGUUGGAUUAGCUAGUUGGUAGGGUAAAAGCCUACCAAGGCGACGAUCCAUAGCUGGUCUGAGAGGAUGAUCAGCCACACUGGGACUGAGACACGGCCCAGACUCCUACGAGAGGCAGCAGUGGGGAAUAAUGGACAAUGGGCGAAAGCCUGAUCCAGCAAGGCCGCGAGAGUGAUGAAGGCCUUAGGGUUGUAAAGCUCUUUUACCCGGGAUGAUAAUGACAGUACCGGGAGAAUAAGCUCCGGCAAACUCCGU